ACAAACUGGGAAAACCAUUUCUACCUCGGAGCUGGUUUUGUUCACAGCUGCAUCGCUGUAGAUGAACAUAAACUAACUCACAGAGCUUUUUAAACAGCUGGUGAGCCGUUGCCAUGGCAACCCACAUUCCUUUACAUGAGAGUAAUCAGAGAGGGGGAGUCUGAGAAAAGAUGGAGGGAGGGAGCGAGGCAGAGGAGGCUUCCCAAGCUUCUGUUGGAAUGCUGUGCUCCCACUCCUCCUCGCUUGCUGUUUUAUGUUUACGCUGCAGGAUCUGCGUCAACAAACAGGUUUAAACCAAAGAGCUGGAACUUUUUAUUGAACUGUAGCAUUUGUUAAAAAGCUAAACUCAUUGUGGGCACGUGGUUUCUGCAUCCCCCUCCUCCCCCUCGCCGUCACUGCCCCCCCUCCCCUCCCCCCUCCUGUUGCCGAUGUGGCACACAAUACCUCCACAGAGAAUGAAUCGCUGGACCUCGGCUCGUUUACCUGCAGGAGUGAUUUUCUGUGCAGGUGUCGCUGCCACUGAGCAGCACGAGAGUGGAAAACGUACGAACGGCAGCGAUGCCUGGGAACUCUUAGCAGGAAAACUGGAGAACAAACGGUGUGGACGCUGAUAAAAGUAGAAAGAUUGAGUUUGGUUUAUUGCAGCCGGAUCGAUUUCAGACUGACUAAUCUGUGCUUUAACUCGGUUCUAUCUUCAUCACUGAAGCCAAAAGUCAAAUUCUUCUUAAACUAAAUGCUGCCGUGACGUUUAACCGUCUACAGACCAUUCUCGUGUCCAGUCACAGGUGAGUGUGAGCUCCUACCUUCUACCGCUUUGCAGAGCAGGGACAGCAGGAGAGAAGUCAGCCGUGAGCGGUGCCUGGGACGAUCUGAGCGCCUCCCUUCUCACAGAGGGCAUUUCCAGUGGGACCCCCCCCCCCCCACACACACCCUCCCAUCACCCGGCUCCUUCCUGCCUGGGUGGGGCUUCACAUUAACUCUCUGCUCACACUGACGCUGGCAGCCCAUGGGUCAAAACUAAGAACCUGCCGUUUGGGACAGAAGGGAACUUUUCUGCUGUGUUUUCAUAGAUGUUCAAUGAGCUGUUUAGUAAAGAACAUGAAUAAGGUUAAAAGAACCACUGUGGACUGAUGCUGUUCUAUUGUGAAUAGAAACUGGAAUCACCCUGUUCCUGAGUGAAUCUGAUCUCUGACUUUAUCUUCUUAAUAUGUGACAUUUACAGUAUUUCAUAUUUCAUAUGUUUUCCUGGAAAUGAGACAUUUUAGCACCAUCUGCAGUAAAAUGUUUUAAUAUUAUGGACAUGAGGUUUUAGCAGCGACCCAAACACGUUACUGGUUUGUGUUGGUGACGGUGGAGAAUGAAAACGAUCCCUCAGAUUAUCAGAGAAGAGGCUGAAUGAGGGUUUAUCUGCACAGCCUCACUGAACGCUGUUCAGACCAGAAACCUCCAGCUGAGCAGAGGCCUCCACUGGGCUGAGGUGCUACGACUCAAUGCUUAUUCCUGGAACCUGGCGGGAGUUGCUGCACUUUUCUAUAUAAUGACUGAAGCUGCGGUUUAGCCUCUGCAUCUGAAGCUCGUUCCAAUCUGCUGUGUUCACGUUCUCCUUUCUCCCUGGGGACGAGGAGCAAAGCCCAUGCUUCCUGGACGUCAUUCGGCCCAUUUCACGGCCAAACACCUGCCGGUCCCUCACAGAAUCGAGCUCUGCCGCUCAUCUGCCCGUUCUGUGGGUCGGCAGAUUGGAGGCGUCUAGCUCCCAAUGCGGAGCUGAUGUGAACAACAGCUGGAUGACAGAGGGAGGAGCAGGAAAAGCUGCGGUGCUACGUGGCGUUUUCCAUUCUGCCUGGAGGCCGCGGGAGCAGGGACGGGUGAGGAGACUCACCCUGUCCUCCUCCCACGUCACUGCUUCCCUCUCCCCUCUCUCCUUUUCCCUCACCCGCCCUCUCUCUCUCUCUCUGCACACGUGGCAGCUGCCCCUCUUUGUUCAUGUCUCUUACAGACAUGAUGACGUUACCAGUUGCAGUUCAUUGUUUUUGCUUUGUUUAAAGCGCUGCUACUUGAUGGACCACGUUUAAACCUGCUGAGAUGCAGCAUCACUGCUCACAGAGCAACUCCCUUAAAUCUGGUAAAGCCACACAGUCGCUGGUGCCACGUCAGACACCAGCGGGUAGCCUACGUAGAACUAGAAGCUCUAGAACAGACCACAGUCGUCUAAACACACACACACACACACACACACACGGGCUGUCGUUCCAGCUGAUGAGCCCCAUGAUUGGAUGCGGCAGCUGGUGGCUGUGAUGGUGGACGGAUGUUGAAUGAGCUCAUAGUUUUCUGCUGCAAUAAUGAAUGUUUGAACGUCUGUGCACGUGUGUGUGUUUCUACUUUGUGUUUAGCAUUUUUACAUUGACUAUUUGCUCUAUUUUAUCACAGCUUCUGUUUGACUCAGCUUUGCUUUAGUUCAAUCCACAGAUAUUUCUAUUGUUUGUUUUCAAUAUAAAUAACGAUAUGAACUUCUAGAACUUCAUACACUUAAAUUAAACUUAAGUCCUGGACGUUUUAAAACCAAAUAAAUAAACACAUUAUAAGUAUUUUCUCAUUCUCCUGUUUGGCAUCAUGUGCCACCAGCUUCAUGUCUUAUAUCAGAAAGGUAAAAACCUGAGUUAACGUCAGGAGGGAUCUGACACGUCACACGCUGGUUUUAAUCAUGAGCAGAUCUAGAUAAAAUAAACAGAGUCAAAUCAUCUGAAACUGUAAAACAGACAAACGAAGCAAAGUCAGUUCACACCAAGUGUCUGUGACUACGACUUUAUCUCAACUGAUGCACAUACAAGGUCACACAUCAUCAUAGAAUAGAAUGCCUUUAUUAGUCCCACAGCGGGGAAAUCAUCAAAAUCAUCACCGCCCUCACGGCUGCUCCUCAUUACUGCCCAUGACAUUUGCAUCCAUGCUUAAUAUUAUUUCUUUGUCCAUUGGUCUUCGUUUCCUGCCGCCUACAUGUGAGGCUUUAACCCUCAAAGGCAGUGAGAGGUGUGAGGAGGACGCAGAUGACUCUGAAUAUAAACAAAGGCCAACGCUCUGUCACUCUGGCCCUAAAAUGAUUACUGGUGUCCACAGAGGGACAGGCGGCCUUUUACUUUGAUCGAUGUUUAGCCCUCGGUCAGACUCGGCCUCCUCCUCCUCCUCCUUCUCUUCCUCCUCCUCCUCUUCAACCUCCUGCUCCUCUUCCUCCUCCUCCUCCUUCUCUUCCUCCUCCUCCUCCUCUUUCUCUUGCUCCUCUUCCUCCUCCUCUUCCUCCUUCUCCUCUUCCUCCUCUUCCUCCUCCUCUUCCUCCUUCUCCUCUUCCUCCUCUUCCUCCUGCUCCCCCUCGUCCUCCUCUUCCUCCUGCUCCUCCUCCUGCAGCCAGUCGACACACAACAGCAGUUAAAAGGAAACUAAGUUCUGCUUCUUUUUCUGCUCGUGUGAGUGUUUUUCAAGGUGUAAAUAAUAUGUUUAUUCACUGUGCACCAUCAAAACUUCACAGCAACCUCAAGACUGAAGCUAUAUUAGUAGAAGCCUCAAAUUAAACUUGUUGGUUUCCAAACCACUGCAUCAUUUACAUUCAGUGUUUUGCAUUUUUCAGCUCCUGGCAACUUUUAUAGUUUCCAUGUCCAGACGUCCAGAAAUUUAAACAUGAGGGUGAAGUGAAGUAAUUGCUUUGUCGAGGCUUCUCACCGGGUACAAACCAGUGGCUGGACUCAUCACAGGUGUGUCACAUGCACAUCACUGUUGUGAGUACAGUAUGUAAUAAUAUGUAAUAAUAUGUAUGUAGAAGUUUUUUACUGGAUGUUUAUAAGACUGGCAUCAAACAGAAGUAAAGGCUGUGAGGAUGUUGCUGUUGAUUCGAUGAAUGUCUCGGUUCAGGCUGAACAGUUUGUUUCUUGAGAUCGAGGAAGUCUGUGUUUUCCUCAAAGCAGUCUGAGCGAGCGGCCGUGGAUCCAAAACCCUGAUGGAGGGUUACAGGCUGUAAUUACACCGACACACAGGACAAAUGAGCUCACGGCCUCAACGCUGGGACGCCGGCUCAGGCCUGAAGCUAAGGACACGCAGUCGCCCACAAGAGGUCCCUUCACCAUAAACACAACAUUAGACUGCAGGGGAAGGAAUUCCAGAUACCCAGAAGCAGGAAGGCCAUCCAAACGCAGACGAACUCUACAGCAGAGACUCCCAGCGAGACGAGAAGUCGGAGGGUCGGGUCAUUGUUUGCUCUUGUCAGUCAAACGGCACAUUUCCGAGCAUGGCUUCACCUCCUGAUGAUGGGUGUGUUGGUUUUGGCACCGUGAACAGGAUCUGACAGCCCUGACUACCGCUCCCCCACCUGACCACGUUUAACUGGACAGAGUGUGACAAAACAAUGGUAACGUGCUAAUGACAUCAUUAACAAGCCAAAGACACAAAGGCAGGUGGGCCGAGCAGAACCAGCAGCUCAGAGCAGCUGCACUGUUCAUUUUCAUAUAUAUAUCACUCAUCAUUUUGUGUUGUUUGUUUUUCUUGAGAUGAAAUAAACAUUUCAAACCA